rnacentral:rRNA from 1 species
AAAAAAGGUAAGCUACUAAGAGCGAAUGGUGGAUGCCUUGACUGGUAAAGGCGAUGAAGGACGUACUAGACUGCGAUAAGCUACGGGGAGCUGUCAAGAAGCUUUGAUCCGUAGAUUUCCGAAUGGGGCAACCCAAUGUAUAGAGAUAUACAUUACCUAUAUAGGAGCGAACGAGGGGAAUUGAAACAUCUUAGUACCCUCAGGAAAAGAAAUCAAUAGAGAUUGCGUCAGUAGCGGCGAGCGAAAGCGCAAGAGGGCAAACCCAGUGCUUGCACUGGGGGUUGUAGGACUGCAAUGUGCAAGAGGUGAGUUUAGCAGAACAUUCUGGAAAGUAUAGCCAUAGAGGGUGAUAGUCCCGUAUGCGAAAAACAAACCUUAGCUAGCAGUAUCCUGAGUAGGGCGGGACACGAGAAAUCCUGUCUGAAGCUGGGUCGACCACGAUCCAACCCUAAAUACUAAUACCAGAUCGAUAGUGCACAAGUACCGUGAGGGAAAGGUGAAAAGAACUGAGGUGAUCAGAGUGAAAUAGAACCUGAAACCAUUUGCUUACAAUCAUUCAGAGCCCUAUGUAGCAAUACAGGGUGAUGGACUGCCUUUUGCAUAAUGAGCCUGCGAGUUGUGGUGUCUGGCAAGGUUAAGCAAACGCGAAGCCGUAGCGAAAGCGAGUCUGAAUAGGGCGCUUAGUCAGAUGCUGCAGACCCGAAACGAAGUGAUCUAUCCAUGAGCAAGUUGAAGCUAGUGUAAGAACUAGUGGAGGACUGAACCCAUAGGCGUUGAAAAGCCCCGGGAUGACUUGUGGAUAGGGGUGAAAGGCCAAUCAAACUUCGUGAUAGCUGGUUCUCUCCGAAAUAUAUUUAGGUAUAGCGUUGUGUCGUAAUAUAAGGGGGUAGAGCACUGAAUGGGCUAGGGCAUACACCAAUGUACCAAACCCUAUCAAACUCCGAAUACCUUAUAUGUAAUCACAGCAGUCAGGCGGCGAGUGAUAAAAUCCGUCGUCAAGAGGGAAACAACCCAGACUACCAGCUAAGGUCCCUAAAUCUUACUUAAGUGGAAAACGAUGUGAAGUUACUUAAACAACCAGGAGGUUGGCUUAGAAGCAGCCAUCCUUUAAAGAAAGCGUAAUAGCUCACUGGUCUAGUGAUUUUGCGCGGAAAAUAUAACGGGGCUAAAGUAAGUACCGAAGCUGUAGACUUGCGCACAACUUAGAUUAUUUAAGUUUAGAAUAUGAGAAACUAAGUUAUAUGUUUAGUUAUAUUUUUACUGAUUUUUAUAGAGUAAAGAUAGAAAUAAAACUUAGUAAAAUCAGUAAAAAUAUUCUUAGACUAAAGUUAAGUAGUUUAAGUUGUGUGCAAGUGGUAGGAGAGCGUUCUAUUUGCGUCGAAGGUAUACCGGUAAGGAGUGCUGGAGCGAAUAGAAGUGAGCAUGCAGGCAUGAGUAGCGAUAAUUAAUGUGAGAAUCAUUAACGCCGUAAACCCAAGGUUUCCUACGCGAUGCUCGUCAUCGUAGGGUUAGUCGGGUCCUAAGUCGAGUCCGAAAGGGGUAGACGAUGGCAAAUUGGUUAAUAUUCCAAUACCAACAUUAGUGUGCGAUGGAAGGACGCUUAGGGCUAAGGGGGCUAGCGGAUGGAAGUGCUAGUCUAAGGUCGUAGGAGGUUAUACAGGCAAAUCCGUAUAACAAUACUCCGAGAACUGAAAGGCUUUUUGAAGUCUUCGGAUGGAUAGAAGAACCCCUGAUGCCGUCGAGCCAAGAAAAGUUUCUAAGUUUAGCUAAUGUUGCCCGUACCGUAAACCGACACAGGUGGGUGGGAUGAGUAUUCUAAGGCGCGUGGAAGAACUCUCUUUAAGGAACUCUGCAAAAUAGCACCGUAUCUUCGGUAUAAGGUGUGGUUCGCUUCGUAUUAGGAUUUACUCCGAAAGCGAAGAAACUUACAACAAAGAGUCCCUCCCGACUGUUUACCAAAAACACAGCACUCUGCUAACUCGUAAGAGGAUGUAUAGGGUGUGACGCCUGCCCGGUGCUCGAAGGUUAAUUGAUGGGGUUAGCAUUAGCGAAGCUCUUGAUCGAAGCCCGAGUAAACGGCGGCCGUAACUAUAACGGUCCUAAGGUAGCGAAAUUCCUUGUCGGUUAAAUACCGACCUGCAUGAAUGGCGUAACGAGAUGGGAGCUGUCUCAAAGAGGGAUCCAGUGAAAUUGUAGUGGAGGUGAAAAUUCCUCCUACCCGCGGCAAGACGGAGAGACCCCGUGGACCUUUACUACAGC